AUGAACUCUGGUCUGGCCAAGGGCGCGUUCUGGGGUGGAAAGGAUAGGCCUUUUGCCCCUUUGCCAGUCGGCGGCACGGUGGUUCGUGCCGAUGAUGGCGGAUGGUUGCAGAUGCCCGGGCGGCGGCCCGGGUGGUGGGAUCUGCGGUGCUUGUGGGCAAAACCCAUGGAUCAGAUGGUGGCCGACGAUCAUGAUGCUUGUGGGCGAAGCCCGUGGGUCGGAUGGUGGCCGACGAUCAUGGUCGUGAGUGAUGCAUGGUGGCUGGCGAUCGGCGGUCCGAGGUGGUGGUACAACAGUGCCUGUACCGUGUUUCGGGCAUGGAUCAUGCGCGCUAGGGUGAAAACCUUGUAUGCCUUUGGGCAGGCCAUCGGUGACGGCGCCCGUGGGCAUCACCCCCUUGUUGAAGGCACCGUCACGGCUACUCCAUCCUCUCCGGAACACUCUGGGUGA
rnacentral:rRNA from 1 species